CUCGGGGACGAGCAAGGGGGUGGUGGCCGACCGCGCUGCGCUCCCGGCGCGGGGCCGCGUGUAUUUGUAUCGUGACCUUGUGCACGUCCCAGCUUUAACCUCCUCCAAAUUACAGCUUGGAUCAUAACCCCUGCCCUGCUUGCCCGCCGGGUGGUGGGGUAAUAUAUUCCGGUGGGGCGGGAGGGGGGGUGGCAGAGAGACUGCCAACUCCCCCUGUGUGCCUGAGCUCAGCCCGCCCAGAAUUUUGAGGCAGUUCAGGCCCUGGCCUGCGACCUCCUCCAGGAAGGGGCUCUCGGGGGUUUAGGCUCCGCGGAGCCCGCACGUCCCCGGGUGCUUGGCUCCGGGGUGACCCCAGCAUCUGGCCGCGGCGGGCCGCAGUCGUGACUCUCGGCAACCCCAGGCGGGAGGAGGAGCUGGCCGACGCAAUUUAGGCUGAAGGGGAAGUCGUGUGGGUUACCCUGAUCUGCGGACGCGGUGAAGGCGACCCCGAGUCGCGCCAGAGAACCACCAGCCUCAGAGAAGGCACGGGUUUCUGACUGUCAGACCUACGCGCGGAGAGUCCUUAAAGGAAGAAGUCUCCCAACCCUUCACAAAAAUAUAAAACCGUCUGGAAGAGGAAACAUCUACUGGAUGGAAGGAGAUAAUUGCAAAUAAAAGGUAAUGAGGAGGAGGAACCUGAAAGGAAUGGUAACACAGGUUUUCUUUGCACUUGACUGUAGGUAAACCCCAGAGUUUUAAUGCUAUCAUGCAGCCAACCCUCUAACAGAAGGCUUAAAUCUCCCCAAGCCGUGGGCCAGCCGGCAGAGAUUUCUCAGGCAGCUUCCCACGACCUGUUGCCAUUACCACCGCCUCAGAUAUGGAUUGGCUAGCAAUAGAAUUCAAAGGACUAAAGAGUCUGUGUGAUGCUACAGAUGAAAGCUCUACCCAGGUAAGUUAUAUUUUAAUUAAUAUCAUGCAUACCUUAUCUUAUUCCACUAAAGUUUUGAGGGGUCACAUGGGAAUCCAUAUAAGAAAUAAAUAUGAAAAUGAUGAAUAAGUUAUAGAAAAAGACAACAUAGAAAUCACAAUCUUGGGUCAAGAUGAGAAGAAAAUAAGAACCCUAAUAAGUAUGUGGAGUACUAGACAAUUAUUAAAGAGGAGCUUUAAAUUUGUCUCUG
rnacentral:lncRNA from 1 species